UACGACUACAUAUCAGGCAUAUCAAUAAGCGGAGGAAAAGAAACUAACUAGGAUUCCCUCAGUAACGGCGAGUGAAGCGGGAAGAGCUCAAAUUUGAAAUCUUCAAGGUUUUGCCUUGACGAAUUGUAGUUUAAAGAAGUGUUUUCUGUUGGUGUUUUGGUAAAAGUUCUUUGGAAUAGGACAUCAUAGAGGGUGAGAAUCCCGUAUUUGACCAUUACUUCCAGCGUUGUGAUACACUUUCAACGAGUCGGAUUGUUUGGGAAUGCAGUCCAAAAUGGGUGGUAAAUUUCAUCUAAAGCUAAAUAUUGGCGAGAGACCGAUAGCGAACAAGUACCGUGAGGGAAAGAUGAAAAGAACUUUGAAAAGAGAGUUAAACAGUACGUGAAAUUGUCAAAAGGGAAGCGUUUGACACCAGUGUUGUUUUCUCGAAAAUCAAUUAAAAAGUAUGGGAUUUUGUAUUGUUAAGACCUUAUCAGCUUACGGUACUAUUUUCCUUAUUCUUUUUAAUGCACUUUUCGUUUAACAAGUCAACAUCAAUUUCUUUUGUUGUAAAAGAGUCAUUGGAAGGUGGCUUUCCUUUCGGAUGAAAGUGUUUAUAGCCUUUGACUUCUGCAAUCGGAGAGAUUGAGGUCUGCAGCGUAGAUCCUUUCUGGAUUAGAUACGUAGAUGCUAAGUUAUAGUUUUUCAUAGACAACUUGUUGACUAUGAUUAAUCAUGUAGCUUACUCGCUUAUGCUAUUUUACCUACGCUUAGGAUGUUGAAUCUGUGCGAGACUAC
rnacentral:rRNA from 1 species